rnacentral:rRNA from 1 species
UACGGAGGGGGUUAGCGUUGUUCGGAAUUAUUGGGCGUAAAGCGCACGUAGGCGGCCUUGCAAGUCGGAUGUGAAAUCCCUCGGCUUAACCAAGGAAGUGCAUCCGAAACUGCAGUGCUUGAGUACUUAAGAGGAUCGCGGAAUUCCCGGUGUAGAGGUGAAAUUCGUAGAUAUCGGGAGGAACACCAGUGGCGAAGGCGGCGAUCUGGGAAGAUACUGACGCUGAGGUGCGAAAGCGUGGGUAGCAAACAGG